UACGAGUGCCUCAAGCGUUAUCCGGAAUCAUUGGGCGUAAAGGUUGUGUAGGUGGUUGUAUUAGUCUUCUGUUAAAUUCUUCGGCUUAACCGGGGGCAUGCAGGGGAAACGGUACAACUAGAGGAUGCGAGGGGUCUGCGGAACUCAUAGUGUAGCGGUGAAAUGCGUUGAUAUUAUGGGGAACACCAAAAGCGAAGGCAGCAGACUGGAGCACUCCUGACACUGAAACAAGAAAGCGUGGGUCGCGAAUGGG
rnacentral:rRNA from 1 species